AAGUCGUAACAAGGUUUCCGUAGGUGAACCUGCGGAAGGAUCAUUAGAGGUUUCUCUCUUAAUUAUAUAUAACCCCAAAUUUUUCUCUUGUCCUUAUUUGUUGUGGCCAGGUCCCUUGUGGACUUUGCUCAACAAAAAAAAACCUGUUUCUUUUUUCUUUUUUACCUUUUUAAUCUCAUACAACUCUUAACGGUGGAUGACUCGGUUUCC
rnacentral:misc_RNA from 1 species